rnacentral:rRNA from 1 species
AUUGAACGCUGGCGGCAGGCCUAACACAUGCAAGUCGAGCGAGCGGCGGACGGGUGAGUAAUGCCUGGGAAUUGCCCAGUCGAGGGGGAUAACAGUUGGAAACGACCGCUAAUACCGCAUACGACUGGCUUGCCCAGGUGGGAUUAGCUAGUUGGUGAGGUAAUGGCUCACCAAGGCGACGAUGCCUAGCUGGGCUGAGAGGAUGGUCAGCCACACUGGAACUGAGACAAGGGCCAGACUCCUACGGGAGGCAGCAGUGGGGAAUAUUGCACAAUGUGGGAAAGCCUGAUGCAGCCAUGCCGCGUGUGUGAAGAAGGCCUUCGGGUUGUAAAUCACGUUCAGGGAGGAGGCGUUACUCGCAGAAGAAGCACCGGCUAACUCCGUGCCAGCAGCCGCGGUAAGAC